AAAAGAACCUGAAACCGUGUACGUACAAGCAGUGGGAGCACCUUCGGGUGUGACUGCGUACCUUUUGUAUAAUGGGUCAGCGACUUAUAUUCUGUAGCAAGGUUAACCGUAUAGGGGAGCCGAAGGGAAACCGAGUCUUAACUGGGCGUUAAGUUGCAGGGUAUAGACCCGAAACCCGGUGAUCUAGCCAUGGGCAGGUUGAAGGUUGGGUAACACUAACUGGAGGACCGAACCGACUAAUGUUGAAAAAUUAGCGGAUGACCUGUGGCUGGGGGUGAAAGGCCAAUCAAACCGGGAGAUAGCUGGUUCUCCCCGAAAGCUAUUUAGGUAGCGCCUCGUGAACUCAUCUUCGGGGGUAGAGCACUGUUUCGGCUAGGGGGCCAUCCCGGCUUACCAACCCGAUGCAAACUACGAAUACCGAAGAAUGUUAUCACGGGAGACACACGGCGGGUGCUAACGUCCGUCGUGAAGAGGGAAACAACCCAGACCGCCAGCUAAGGUCCCAAAGUCAUGGUUAAGUGGGAAACGAUGUGGGAAGGCACAGACAGCCAGGAUGUUGGCUUAGAAGCAGCCAUCAUUUAAAGAAAGCGUAAUAGCUCACUGGUCGAGUCGGCCUGCGCGGAAGAUGUAACGGGGCUAAACCAUGCACCGAAGCUGCGGCAGCGACGCUUAUGCGUUGUUGGGUAGGGGAGCGUUCUGUAAGCCGUUGAAGGUGUGCUGUGAGGCAUGCUGGAGGUAUCAGAAGUGCGAAUGCUGACAUAAGUAACGAUAAAGCGGGUGAAAAGCCCGCUCGCCGGAAGACCAAGGGUUCCUGUCCAACGUUAAUCGGGGCAGGGUGAGUCGACCCCUAAGGCGAGGCCGAAAGGCGUAGUCGAUGGGAAACAGGUUAAUAUUCCUGUACUUGGUGUUACUGCGAAGGGGGGACGGAGAAGGCUAUGUCAGCCGGGCGACGGUUGUCCCGGUUUAAGCAUGUAGGCGGAGGU
rnacentral:rRNA from 1 species